CUGGGCCCAGCGCCCUGACUGACCCAGCCCCGCCACGUCCAAGGUUCCCGCCCUCUGGAGGAAGCCGCGCAAUCACUCCGGGGGCGGGGAGAGACAGACAACUGAGAGGAAGGAGGUACCACGGGCACUCUCUCGCGAGAGGGCCGCAGAGCCGCCUUUGACGGGGGCGUGUACCUGGAGAGCAACGCUCUUGACAAAAUUCUCAGGGAAAACUCUUCAGCUCUGGAUGUCUCCCUUUUUGUGGAUCAAACACAAAGGGCAUCAUUCUAAAAUAUAUACAGAACCAUAAAAGCCCCAAAUAGCCAAAGCAACCCUGAGCAAAAAGAACAAGGCUGGAAGCAUCACACUACCAGACUUCAAAAUUUACUACAAAGCUCUAAUACCUAAAAUAACAUGGUACUGGCAUUAAAAAAAAAAAAAAAAUAGGCACAUAGACCACCAAUGAAACAGUAUAGAGAAUCUAGAUAUACCAACUCAUCUUUAACAAAGGUGCCAAGAACAUACAAUGAGGAAACGAUGGUCUUUUCAAUAAAUGGUGUGGGGGAAAGCUAGAUAACUAUAUGCAGAAGAAUGAAACAAGAUUCCUCUCUCUCGCUAUACACAAAAAUCAAAUCAAAAUGGAUUAAAGGCUUAAAUCUAAGACCUGAAACUACAAAACUAGAAGAACACACUGGAGAAGUGCUCCAGGACCUUGGUCUGGGAAAAGAUUUUUUUGUUUAAGACCUCAAAAGCACAGACAACAAAGCAAAAACAGACAAAUGAGAUUACAUUAAGCUAAAAAGUUUCUGCACAGCAAAGGAAACACUCAACAGAGUGGGGGAGACAACCCACAGAAUGAGAGAAAACAUUUUCAAACUAUCCAUCCGACAAGGGAUUAAUGACCAGAAUAAAGAGACCAAACAAUUUAAGCCAAAAACAAAACAAACAAACACACAAAAAAAACAAAAGCCAAAUAAUCUAAAAAGUGGGCAGGUUGGGUGGGGUGGCUCAAGCCUAUAAUCCCAGCACUUUGGGAGGCCAAGGCAGGCAGGUCAAGAGAUCGAGACCAUCCUGGCCAACAUGGUGAAACCCCAUCUCUACUGAAAAUACAAAAAAAAUUAGCCGGGUGUGGUGGCAUGUGCCUGUAGUCCCAGCUACUUGGGAAGCUGAGGCAGUGAGAAUCGCUUGAACCUGGGAGGCAGAGGUUGCAGUGAACCAAGAUCACACAACUGCACUCCAGCCUGAUGACAGAGCGAGACUCCAUCUUGAAAAAAAAAAAAAAAAAAGUGGGCAAAAGAUCCAAACAGACAUUUCUCAAAGGAAGACAUAAAAAUGGCCAACAGGUGGAUGGAAAGCCGAUUUCCAGUCUUUAUGAUAACGCCGAUGUUCCACUUGGGAAAGAUACUGUACAACAAUGAAAGUAGCCCUUUCUUUUGUCUUUCAAAGAAUGUAUUUUUAACAAACAGCCUCUGUGUGAUCCUUUUGACCACACAAUUUGUAGAGUUAACGCUGAAAUUUUCAUUAGCAACAAUGAAAGCACACACAGGCACAAUAUUAAUAUAGAUUAAUAUCAGCCUAUUUUGGUCAGAAAGGCUCAUUUAAAUGUUUAAGAGACAGAAGUCCCAAAUUGUAGUAAUUUCUUCCACUAGCAGGAGGAAGCUCAGAAUUAGUUUUUCUACAACACUAGAGGAAUACUACUCAAAAAUAAAAAGGAAUUAACCAUUGAUACAUGCAACAACACAGAUGAAUCUCAAAGUAAUUGUGCUGAAAGAAACCAGACCCAGAAAAAGAUAAAUUCUAUAUGAUCUCAUUUAUAUAAGACUCUAGGAAAUGCAAACUAAUCUACACAUACAGAAAACUGAGGGCAGGUACUGAGAAGGGUAGGAGGGGGGCGUUACAGAGAGGCAUGAGGAAACUUUUUGGGGUGAUAGAUAUGUUUACUACUUUGAUUGUAAGGAUGAGGUCGCAACUCUGUGCGUGUCAGUGGUAUAUUUUAAUAUGAACGGCUUAUUUUAUGUAAAUUCUACCCCUAUAAAGCUGUUUUUUUUAAAAAAAAAAACUUCUCUUUGAGAGACAUCACCUUUGUCUUUUAAACCAUCUAAUGUUGAAUCUAAAAGUUCAGUGUAAAGUUUAAUAAAAUCAGAGUGUGUAUGUGUCUUAAUUUCCAGGACAUAUAAUCAUAGUGAUUAAGCCAAAAGUGCUUAUAUGAUUACCUAUAAACUAUCAUAGUUAAAUGACUAAAUACCCUGCAUAAGGUAAAAUGAUUAUUUUAUUCCUAUAGAUUGAAAUUGCCCAACUUUUUAUUAGAGAAUAAUAGAUUAGAGGGCAUGUUGGCUCAUACCUGUAAGCCCAAUGCUUUGGGAGGCUGAAGCGGGAGGAUCCCUUGAGGCCAGGAGUUGAAGAUCAGCUUGGGCAACAUAGCAAGACCACAUCUCUACAAAAAAAUUUAAAAUAAAAUGUUUAUCCAAGCAUAGUGGCACUCACUCACCUGUAGUACUAGCUGCUGAGGAAGCUGAGGCCUGGAGUUCAAACUGCACAACGCUGCACUUCAACCUAUGUGACAAAGUGAGAUCCUAUCUCUAAAAUAAUUAAUUCAGUUUUUAUAAUUAGGGAACAUUUAAAUUCAGAUUAUAAGUAAAAAAUGGAAUAAACAGUCCUGUUACCUGAUAUGGUUUGGAUCUCCAUCCCUACCCAAAUCUUAUGUUGAAAUGUAAUCCCCAAUGCUGGAGGUGGGGCCUGGUGGGAGAUGAUUGGAUCAUGGUGGUGGUUUCUCAUGGUUUAACACCAUCGUCCCCUGGUGCUGUCGCCGUGAUGAUGAAUUCUCACGAGAUCUGGUUGGUUUAAAAGUGUGUGGCACCUCCCCCUUCUCUCUUGCUCCUGCUCCUACCAUGUGAGAUGCCUUGGUCCCCCUUUGCCUUCCGCCAUGAUUCAGAGUUCUCUGAGGCCUCCCCAGAAGCAGAUGCUGCCAUGCUUUCUGUACAGCCUGCAGAACCGUAAGCCAAUUAAACCUCUUUUCUUAUACAUUACCCAGUGUCAGAUAUUUCUUUAUAGCAGUGUGAGAAUGGAUUAAUACACUACGUCAUGCAAAAUGUAAAAACAGGCAACUCACUGAGAGUAAACCUAAUCAACUUGUUCAUUUAGAUAUAAACUGUAGAGACGACACUGCCAUCUAGUUGUUGAAUACUGAGUAUACUGUUGAAACAUUCUUGACAAUGUUCUAUUUCUCUUUUGUAGACUUACAAGGAACACACAGAAGCCCCUAACCAAUUACAUCUCCUUCCUAGGAGUGUGAAUGUGACUGCCAUAGUGCAGCCCAUGCUGCCCCUGGUAAUUAUAUGCCUCAACCCAAGCAGGUGAUUAUGUAUCCUGUGACUACCUCAUGCUCAAGGCUCUUCCAUAUUACACAAACACACACACUCAUACUCAAAAGCAAAACAAAAAUAAAACAAUCUGCUUGAUCCCUGCCCUAUAGAGAUUAGUCUAGUCAGGGAAACAUACAACUAAGCAUUCGAAUACAGUGUAGUGGGUGCUACGAGAGCAGAAGUACAGAAAAUAUGUAAGCUCCAACAAGCACCAGCAGGAGUUAAAGGUUUAGGGAAAAUUAGUGGGAAGUUUAUCUAAAAUGAAAGCAGUGGAUAAGAGGAGAUGAGAUUCUGCAGUGUCCUGUAAGCUAUUUUAUUCUAGAAGCAGUGGAAAGCUUUGAACUUUUUGAAAGACCUUAAGCAAGGAAAGGAAGUAAUUAGAUUUGUAUGUCAGAAAUAAUAUUCUGGUUUUAGUAUACAGAAUGGAUUAAAAGGAGGUAAGAUUAGAGGCAGGGAGAGCUUGUUAAUUUAAGCAAGAGUAAUUUAAGCAAGAGAUGAUGGUACUAAGCUAGGAUUAUAAACAUGGAAAUGGAGAGAAGUUGGAGGGUUUGAAAGAUGUUCUGCAGAUAUAAUAAAUAUGACUUGCUGAAAGCCAACUGUGGAGAAUUAGGAAGAUGGAAACACCAAAGAUGACUUCCAUGUUUCUGACUUCACAACUGAGUGCAUGGUGGUGUCCAAAAAGUGGAGGAGCAGGUUUUGAGAUAAUAAAAUUCAUUUUUACUCCUAUUGAGCUGGAGGCACUCACGGUGUAUCUAAGAACAAACAUCUAUUUGACAACUGAAUAUAUGGUGUGAUGCUCACUAUAGAGAUCUGGACGCUUCAGCACAUACAUUAUCGCUGACACACUGGGGUAGACAUAAGGCACGCUGAGUCUAUUUCAGGAAAUGUGCCUAGACUUAAAAUAGAUAUGCACAUAGAGUGGAAGGAAGAAGAGUAGAGAAAAUUGAGAAGGAAUAGUUAAGGAGGCUCCCUACCUUCUCACUCCACCUCAGGCCGGCAAGCAGAACUUACUGUUACCCCCUUGGGCUCCCACUGUUUUCCAUCUAUGCAUCUACCAAGGCAUCUGUUAUGUCAUUGAAUAUACUUAUCUUUCUCUCUCCUUCUACUAAAUUAUAAGGAUCUUAGGGCAAGGAUCAUGUCAUAUUCAUAUUUGGAUUCCCAGGACUUAACAACAGUGCUUGGCAGAUAGUUUUUCUUACGACUUUUAUUUAAUAACUAAUGAUAGAAAAAAUUCAUUGAGUACUUUCUGUGUUCUAGGCACUUUAUAUACAAGGUCUGUUAUACUUGGGAUAUAUUAAGACUCAGAAAAUUUAAAUGACUUGUCCAAGAAGCUUCCAGGAUUCAGACCUGGCUCUGUAUGAGUCCAUGCUUUUUUUUCUACUGUAUCAUACUGUCUACAACAGACUGGUGAAUGAAAUCUAUCUUUAACAAAAGAGGAAAAAAGGAAUUGCAUCUUAUAUAAGGCACAGAUACUGAUUCUUAUGCUAAACACAGUGAAGUCCUGUAGAGAAAAUCCUUGGGUUCUGUCUCCUGGGGUUACAUGCCAUGUAUGCCAGAAAGUAUAGCAAGUAAAUGGCUGCAUGUCCUAAACCAUAAGGAAGUUCAUACAGACUAAGCAAAAUGCAACUAGUUACCAUUUUGCACAGCAGCUCUUGGAAGGAUCCAGCAGUUACCACUACACCAUGGAUCUAAGACACCCUCACAAAGAUAGGCCAAACACGGCCUGCGACCUUCACCUUGUAAGUUUUGCUCAAAAUAACUUGGCCAAAAGCUGAGAAACUUUAGUACCAUCUAAACUUUUCAUUCCAAUUAUGCUUGGUCACUGCUCAGAAGGCAGCUCCCUCUCAUCCAUCAGCUUCCUCUCAAUUCUUGUCUCCAAACUGUGUACUGGAUAGCAUCCUGUCAACACACAAUGCCCUCCCUCCAACCUUUCAAGUAUGGGCUUUGGCAACCUAUUCCACUAUAAAUAAAUCCACCUAUACACUCAGCGCUUAUAAAACCUUUAAUUCCUUUGAAGUUCAUUCCAUUCAAUUUUGUCACCCUUCACCUUGCUUUGUCCCUAAUACCUACAUCAUGUUAUUCCUUUAAACCCCAAAUUCAUUUAAUCAUUUCCUAGGAGAUUUCAACAUUCAUGUGGAAUGUCGGUUGAACAUCCAACCAUCACAGUUCCAACGCCAGUUCAACCUCAUUCCCUUGGUCACACUCCCCACUUUGUUAUGGAGCGGUUCUGGUGAUUUUCAUACCCUUAUGCUUCCAUUCAUAUUACCCACAGUGCACCUGAUCAUUAACCUCAUUGAGACCUCCAUUCCUAUAAUGCCACCUCUUCUUCCAGUUUAUUCUUGAUCCCGCUUCCUUCUGUAUCUGGCCUCAAUCUCUUAAAUUGGUCAUAUGACCUGCUCUAGUGCUUUUCUUUUUCUUUUUUUUCUUUUUUUUUGAGACAAGGUCUUGCUCUGUCGUCCAAGCUGGAGUGCAGUGGCCCGAUCUUGGCUCACUGCAACCUUCACUUCCGGGGUUCAAGCCAUCCUCCCAUCUCAGCCUCCUGAGUAGCUGGGACUACAGGAGCUCACCACCACACUUGGCAAAUUUUUGUGUUUUUUGUAGAGAUGGAGUGUUGUCCAGGCUGGUCUCAAACUCUUGAGCUCAAGCAAUCCUCUUGCCUCAGCCUUCCAAAGUGUUGGGAUUACAGGCAUAAGCCACCAAGGCUGGCCUCGUCAGUGCUUUCAAUUACCCUCCAUAUUUUUCCAUCCCUGGGUUAUCUCUUCCAACUCACAUUUCUAUAUCCUGCCUGGCACAAAUGCUCUCAAUUCUCUUCUAUCCUUAUCUUUCUCCUAUAUCCAUUAUCCAAAUCACAAUUCUGGAUCAGUCCUAUAAUCUACCUGGCCCUGUAAGCCAUUCAGAUGAGAUGCUAGAAACAAUCACAAAAUCACCAUACUUUCAUGAUUUCCAAAUUCAGUUCCAUGGUUAACCCUGUUCAUUACUGUUUUUGUGUUUCAUCAGCUCUAUUCCAAACCAUCUCUAUUCUCUUCAAGCCUCUAAACUAACCUUUUGCACCCUCCUACUUCAUAAGUAAUAUCACCUAUCACUUCCUACUUCACAAAAAAUUUGGAGAACAUCUAAUAUAAAUCUCUCCUUUCACAUCUACAAACUUAUAACGAUUCCCUUCCUUCUAGUUUUGAGAAAAGGUGUGAAGGUGUGUUUUCCUUUUUUUUUUUUUUUUUGAGAUGGAGUCUCAUUGUAGUGCAGUGGCACGAUCUCGGCUCACUCCAGCCUCCACCUUCCGGGCUCAAGCAAUUCUCCUGCUUCAGCCUCCCGAGUAGAUGGGAUUACAGGCGCCUGCCACCAUGCCCGGCUAAUUUGUGUGUGUGUGGUUUCGUUUGUUUUUUUGAGAUGGAGUUUUGCUCUUGUUGCCCAGGCUGGAGUGCAAUGGUGUGAUCUUGGCUCACUGCAACCUCCGCCUCCUGGGUUCAAGCAAUUCUGCCUCAGUCUCCCAAGUGACUGGGAUUUCAGGCAUGCACCACCACGCCCGGCUAAUUUUGUAUUUUUAGUAGAGAUGGGGUUUCUCCAUGUUGGUCAGGCUGGUCUCGAACUCCUGACCACAGGUGAUGGGCCCGCCUCGGUCUCCCAAAGUGCUGGGAUUACAGGCGUGAGCCACUGUGCCCAGCCCCUAAAUCACCUAAUUCUUUAAUCUGAGCCCCAGUCUCAUUUCUCAGAUUCUGUUUAUACUAGGCUACAUAAAGCUCCUGAAUACACUAUUGUUUCACAUACCUAAAUUCAACAUUCUCUGAAGCUCUUCCUAGCCUAUCCAAACAGAGAUGAGUGCUGACUCCCAGGAGUUUAGAUAUUGCUGUUGCAUUCACUUCUUGUCUGUCUCCUUUAGGAGCUUGUGAAAAAUGUGAGAGAAAGGACAAUGUCAUGUACCCCCAGUGUGAAGUAUAGCACCUGGAGAUAGCAGGCAUUCAAUAACUACUGGAUGGAUGGAGGCAUUAUGAAGUUUGCCAAGUUUGUUAACACUACUAAAGGUUUCAAUGAAUGUAAAAACAGUGGCAGAUGGGUGGUUUUCUUGACUGUGGGAAAGGUAAAAUAGUAUAAAGUACUAGCAAGUAUAAACACAGGCAUACCUCAUUUUAUUGCAUUUUGCUUUACUGUACUUUGCAGAUACUGCAUUUUUUACAAAUUAAAGGUUUAUGGCAACCCUCCAACAAACAAGUCUGUUAAUGCCACCCCAAAGUCAUGUGCUCAUUUUGUGUCUCUGUGUCACAUUUUGGUAAUUCCUGCAAUAUUUCAAACUUUGUAUUAUUAUUAUUUCUGUUACAGUGAUCUGUGGUCAGUGAUCUUUGAUGUUACUAUUUUGACCGUUUGUGGGCACCACAAACUGUGCCCAUAUAACAUCAGCGAACUUAAUAAAUGGUGUGUGUGUUCGGACUGCUCUACCAACCGGCCAUCCCCCUAUCUUUCUCCCUCUCCUCAAACCUCCUUAUUCCCUGAGACACAAUACUGAAAUCAGGCCAAUUAAUCACCCUGCAAUGGCCUCCCAGUGUUCAAGUUAAAAGAAGACUUGUACAUCUCUCAUUGUAAAUCAAAAGCUAGAAAUGGUUAAGCUUAAUGAAGAGGCAUGUCAAAAGCCAAGACAGGCUAAAAAAGCUAGGGUCUUGUGCCAAACCAUUAAUUCUUGAAGGAAAUUAGAAGUGUUACUCCAGUAAACACCUAAGAAAACCUUAUUGCUGAUACGGAGAAAAAGUUUUAGUGGUCUGGAUAGAAAAUCAAACCAGCCACAACAUUCCCUUAGGCCAAAGCCUAAUCCAGAGCAAGGUUCUAAAUUCAAUUCUAUGAAGACUGAGAGGUAAGGAAGCUACAGAAGUUUGAAGCUAGUAGAGGUUGGUUUAUGAGGUUUAAAGAAAGAAGUCAUCUCCAUAAAUAAAAGUGCAAGGUGAAGCAGAAAGUGCUGAUGUAGAAGCUGCAGGAGUUUAUCCAGAUCCAGCUAAGACCAUUGUUAAAGGUGGCUAUACUCAGUAACAGAUUUUCAAUGUAGAUGUAACAAGCCUUUUAUUGGAAGAAGCCACCUUAGACUUUCACCGCUACAGAGAAGUCAGUGCCUGGCUUCAAAUCUUCCAAGAACCGGCUGACUUGUUAAAAGCUAAUGCUGCUGGUGACUUUAUAUUGAAGCCAAUGCUCAUUUGCCAUUCUGAAAAUCCUAGGGCCCUUAACAAUUAUGCUAAAUCUACUCUGCCUGUACUCUAUAAAUGGGACAAAGCCUGGAAGACAGCACAUCUGUUUACAGCAUGAUUUACUGAAUAUUUUAAGCCCACCAUUGAGAUCUACUGCACAAAAAGAUUCCUUUCAAAAUAUUGCUGCUCAUUAACAAUCAUCUCGUAUCCCAAGAGCUCAGACGGAGAUGGACAACGAGAUUCAUGCUGUUUUCAAGCCUGCUAACACAAUGUCCACUCUAUAGCCCAUAGACCAUGGAGCAAUUUCAACUUUCAAGUCUUAUGAUUUAAGAAAUACAUGUUGUAAGGCUAUUGCUGCCAUAAAUAGUGAUUUCUCUGAUGGAUCUGUGCAAAGUAAAUUGAAAACUUUCUGGAAAGGAUUCACUAUUCUAGAUAUCAAUAAGAACAUUCAUGAUUCAUGGGAUGAGGGCAAAAUAUCAUUUACUGGAGUUUAGAAGUUGUUUCCUGUCCUCAGAGAUGACUUUUAAGGGUUCAAGACUUCAAUGGAGGAAGUAACUGCAGAUGUGGUAGAAAUUGCAAGAUAACUAGAAUUAGGCCAGGUGUGGUGGCUCAAGCCUAUAAUCCCAGCACUUUGGGAGGCUAAAGUGGGCAGAUCGCUUGAGGCCAGGAGUUUGAGACCAGCCUGGAGUGAAACCCUGUCUCUACAAAAAAUGCAAAAAAUUAGCCAGGCAUGGUGGCGUGUACCUGUAGUCCCAGCUACUCUAGAGGCUAAAGUGGGAGGAUCACUUGGGCCCAAGAGGUAGAGGCUGCAGUGAGCUGUGAUGGUGCCACUGCACUCCAGCCCGGGGGCAGAGCAAGACCCUAUCUCAAAAAGAAAAAAGGCCAGACGUGGUGGCUCAUGCCUGUAACUCCAGCACUUUGGGAGGCCAAGGCGGGAAGAUCAUUUGAGCUCAGAAGUUCAAGACCAACCUGGGCAACAUGGCAAAAUCCUGUCUCUACUAAAAAUACAAAAAUUAGCCAGGUGUAGUGGCACGCACCUGCAGUCUUAGUUCUUGGGAGGG
rnacentral:lncRNA from 10 species